CCUACGGGUGGCAGCAGUGAGGAAUAUUGGUCAAUGGACGAGAGUCUGAACCAGCCAAGCAGCGUGAAGGAUGACUGCCCUAUGGGUUGUAAACUUCUUUUAUAUGGGAAUAAAAUGUUCCACGUGUGGGAUUUUGUAUGUACCAUAUGAAGAAGGAUCGGCUAACUCCGUGCCAGCAGCCGCGGUAAUACGGAGGUUCCAAGCGUUAUCCGGAUUUAUUGGGGUUAAAGGGAGCGUAGGUGGAUUGUUAAGUCAGUUGUGAAAGUUUGCGGCUCAACCGUAAAAUUGCAGUUGAAACUGGCAGUCUUGAGUACAGUAGAGGUGGGCGGAAUUCGUAGUGUAGCGGUGAAAUGCUUAGAUAUCACGAAGAACACCAGUUGCGAAGGCAGCUCACUGGACUGCAACUGACACUGAGGCGCGAAAGUGUGGGGAUCAAACAGGAUUAGAUACCCGUGUAGUC
rnacentral:rRNA from 1 species